GAGAUCACUUCUCGCCGAAUCUUAGCGCCUCAAGCUUCUUUCACCAUGCGAACCGCUUUUCUGUGCCUGUGUGCUCUUCUUGCAGUUGCUGCUUUUGCUUCAACAGCUAAUGCUCAAAGGGCAACGGAGGUCGGUCGAUUGUAUCUCGUUCCGAAUGGGAACCUCCCCAAUGGCGCCGGGCUGCUCCGCAGUGAUUACUCUCCGGUAGGAGGAAGCAUGGUCCACGGAGGUAAGCGAGGGGGCCUCGACUCUCUCAGCGGAAUGGCCUUUGGUCGUCGGAGGUAAAAGCUUGAUCGUAAUCGCUGCGAAUGCGCGCUUCUGUCUUCUGCAACAUCAGAUGAGUCUGAACCAUGCCUUUGCCUCUCCAACAUGUCUUCACGAGCUGCGUCCGCGUUAGCAACUUGCGUCCACCAACGGAGUGAUUCCUUCGCCUCAACUUACAAAUCGUUGAUUUCAAGUGGUAUGAGGCGUAGAGUGAGGACUGGGAUCGCUUCGCUUGAGGAUAUUCACGAUAGAGUGACAAAUCGAAGGCUUUCGCCUGAACGCGUCAACAUUGUCCGAAUAAAGAAAACCGCAUAGCUGUUACCAAUCCUUU